CUCCGGGAGUCGGUUUCGGUCUGCUGUGGCUCGAGGCCGUCGGUGCCCUCGCACAAAACGGCGCGAUGGGUGAAGGCACAAGUGAAGAGGGAGGAGAGCAAAAGCGCGGCCGUACCAGACAGCGCUGGGGCAGGAGGUGACCGAAGUCAUUGCAACAGCCCUGCGGAGGAGCUUGGAGGCGUUUAGCCUGUUCCCGUCACCAGCACAGGAGGUGUGUUCAUAUGGUCACUGAGGAGCAGAGGGCCAGGCACAGAAAUGAGGGGCACACAGAGCACACUGAAGCACAGAGCUGAUGACCGUAGAGCCUGACCUGUAACCCAACAUGUUAAUCAUGUGGUGGAGGAGAGCUGCACUUCAGUCACACAGCUUUUGAAGUCUUGAAGGAUGGAAUAUUACAGUAAGAAACUGAGCAUUAACUCACCACUGCUCACCCUGUACGUAGUAGUGUGGCUGCCCUCUCUUUGUGAUCCUGCUGCUGUGGAAACUUCAGAGCAUUUUUACUCAACACCCGCAGUUCAGUUUGGCAAGUAAAGAUGCAUGAUGGAUGGUGUACAAAUACAAAAACACCGCAACACAAAAGCAUACAGACUCAGCUCAACACCAAUUUACUGUCGAUAAGUGGCACAUGGGGAUGAGAAACGAGCCAUAGACAACAAACCCAGGAGCUGCAAAGACAGCAUCAACUUGCCUUGCCUGACUGGGGACUGAGCUGGGUGGAGCAAGGCAGGAAAAGGCGAGGCUGUCUCAGGAAAGGAAAGACGAGGACCUGGCUGGCCAGGGAAGUGGAGCAAGGAGGAAUCUCCUGGAAGCCUCAGGAGGACCCAGAGGAUGGCACAUCCCAGGUGAGGUGACACUUUGUGGGGCUCAGGACCUUGCUGUCCACUACCUGCAGCCUUCCAGCAUAUUUAGGAUGCGGCAAUGUGAGGGGCUGCUGUCCCCCAGAGGAGCUGCAAAGCCUUCCCAGAGAGCUGAGAGUCUCAGCAGUCACCAGAAGAGCUGAGCACGGCUAUGGACAAUUUGCUGUUUCUCUGAGGAAUCUGGACUUGGACGAGAGCCCCACAGAACACACAGUAACCCAACACUGUGAAACUGUGGAACUCGUUAGAGAACACUCUUGUUUUCUUAGUAACCAAAGUGAGGCCACUGUAUAAUAUUUGCUACUUCAGGGGAACAGGAAUGUCUACUUGGUUUCCUGAUUACAGGGUAAGCGGCAACGAGUUAAUGCUUAACUGCAUCGUUGCAAUUUUUUUCAAUCCCUCAAGACUGUUAAAAUAAAAAGUGGAAAAAGUAAGGAGCGGUGUUAUUACGUGACGCACAGAUACCACCCGAUGAGUCAAUCCACCACCCCGCAAACGAGGAAACCACUGCUCUGCAAAACGACACCUGGCAGUCUGCACGGAAAACGAGGCAGCCGGCUGCUCGCCUCGCACCGGUGAAGGCACCGAGUUCCCCUGUCCUGCUUGGUGCAGAGUUACGAGAAACCAGCUAAACGCCCUCUGCUCAGCCGCCCGGGACCUCACAUGGUUUUGCUGUAUCGCGAAGAAAGCCGGCCCUUGCUGGCGGAGCUCCGCCCCCCGCACAGCCGCCCG
rnacentral:lncRNA from 1 species